CCUACGGGCGGGCAGCAGUGGGGAAUAUUGCACAAUGGGGGAAACCCUGAUGCAGCGACGUCGCGUGGGUGAUGAAGUAUUUCGGUAUGUAAAGCUCUAUCAGCAGGGAAGAAACUGACGGUACCUGACUACGACGCCCCGGCUAACUACGUGCCAGCAGCCGCGGUACGACGUAGGGGGCAAGCGUUAUCCGGAUGUACUGGGUGUAAAGGGAGCGUAGACGGCGGUGCAAGCCAGAUGUGAAAGCCCGGGGCUCAACCCCGGGCCUGCAUUUGGAACUGUGCUGCUAGAGUGUCGGAGAGGCAGGCGGAAUUACUAGUGUAGCGGGGAAAUGCGUAGAUAUUAGGAGGAACACCAGUGGCGAAGGCGGCCUGCUGGACGAUGACUGACGUUGAGGCUCGAAAGCGUGGGGAGCAAACAGGAUUAGAUACCCCAGUAGUC
rnacentral:rRNA from 1 species